GGAGUGUUCAGGAAAUCCUGAGGAAGAGGGAAGCUCUGAAUCAGACGGAGAAGGAGGAAGGUGCAAAAAGAACAGUGGAAAGAAGGGAGUGAAAUGUAGAGGCCAGGGACAAGGAAAGGACCAAGACGGAAAAGGAGGAAAAGGAAAAUCUGGAGAAAUGA